rnacentral:rRNA from 1 species
AACGAACGCUAGCGGUGUGGAUUAGGCAUGCAAGUCGCGCGCGAAAGCCUUCGGGCGAGUAAAGCGGCGAAAGGGUGAGUAACACGUAACCAACGUACCCCUCAGACUGGGAUAACCACUGGAAACGGUGGAUAAUACCGGAUGGUCCACUGGGCAGCAUUGCCUGGCUGGUAAACGGCGGCCGCAAGGCGGUUGCUGAGGGAGCGGGUUGCGGCCUAUCAGCUUGUUGGUGAGGUAACGGCUCACCAAGGCUAUGACGGGUAACAGGUCUGAGAGGAUGAUCUGUCACACUGGGACUGAGACACUGCCCAGACUCCUACGGGAGGCUGCAGUCGAGAAUCUUCCACAAUGGGCGAAAGCCUGAUGGAGCGACACCGCGUGCAGGAUGAUGGCCU